CUACCAAGUCAUUGUCGAAUUUGGCUUGUUUGGACGGUUUAGGCUCCAAUGUAAAAGGUAGACUUGUUCUUUUCAACAACCCACUUCCAAGCUGGUUUAAAGUGAUUUUGUUGAGUCCAAAUGCCUUAGCUUGCUGUCCUAUACUGAUUGGUGUUCAGCUCAUGUGCAUGUGCCACUCAUAUUGGCUUCGAACAUGGAACAAAUCAGUGUACUAAGCUACAACAAUUAU
rnacentral:lncRNA from 1 species